GAGAGUAUAGCUCAGUGGUAGAGCACCUGCCUGGUAUGCAAGAGGCCUUGGGUUUGAUUCCCAGCACUGCCA
rnacentral:tRNA from 1 species